UUGGUCGUGCUGAAUUGCAGCGCCUUCGAGGCGCCGGAGCAGGUUGUAGUGUCGGAAGAGCCCAAGACUGGAUCGCCGGGUCCGCCUCUGUUGUCUGGGAGGCCGUUCUGCGCGGGUGGCUGCCCCGUUACGUCGAAGGUGGUCAGGACCUCUCAAGCCAGGAAGUGGUACUCGUUGGUGAGUUCGAAGUUAAUUUGUACUUUAUAGUUACAUAAUGGGUAAACCUGUGGGUAAUAUCUUCGUUAUAUUAAGGUGCCUUUUAUGCCAUUAAACUCGUUGUUGAGCGUUCGGUGGCGACAUCUAGACAUGUUGUCUGUCUCAGUCGCUAGAUGGCAGUCGGAUUGCUGCGUGUGGGACUGCGUCAAAUCUGCCGCAGCUAUGAUCGGCGGCGAUAGCCGCUGACCUAUUGUUUACAAUUAUUUGUUACAAAUGUUCAUUGAUGGAUGUAUUGUUUUCGUUUGUCCGAGUUGUUUGUGAUGCCAAUGAGCACUCGUAAAUAGUUUUCUGUUGGGCCUCACGAUUCGUCGCCCCCUCCCCCGUUAGAUAUGUACUGCCGGCGAUUGUAUUGCCUACACAUGUGUUUAGAAGUUAUGUGCCCUGCUUAUUGUGUUUUUGUUUUCUCAGGAAGCCGCUAAAUACAGACUGAGCGGAA